UGAGGUUAAUAGGUUCGAGGUGGAAGCGUGGUGACACGUGGAGCUGACGAAUACUAAUCGAUCGAAGACUUAAUCAAUUUUUUCAA
rnacentral:rRNA from 1 species